CCUGCGUCCUCACCAUUACAUCCUAAGCAGAAAGGUCUGAAAAACUAGUGCCAAAAGCAGGCCUAAGGCCAAGGGGCUAUCCACCAAGUGCUCCCUGUCUUCCUACUUCAGAGGGAAAAGUGAAGAGGGAAAGGAGAGAAGGGGAAAAGAAAAAUCACUUGUCUGUCCUGUAUUUGGAAGAAUGAAAGCGCUGGGGUGAUGAAGAGAACGAAGAAAAGGGAGAGGUGGUGGCCUCCACGUCCCUGAAGCUAUUCAAGCAAAGACCAGAUGACUACCUUUGAAGGCUGCUGUGGAGAGGACGCCUCCCCAGGCCUCUCCCCCUUUCAUCUCACCGGCAGUACAACUUAACAAGGAGAAAAUGGAGGAGAGACACUGAGGAGCCUCCAGAUGCCCGGCCCAUCACUUUGCGCCGCCAGAUGAUUCAGAGGAGACUCACUCAGAGCCUCCGGGGGGUGAUG